AUUUUUUCAAUAAAGCACCUCGUAAAACACUUUUUCAUUCACUUAAGGAAGCUAAGUACGUGCUGAAACAAACAGCCAACUGAAGUGAAUUUAGGACGUGGUAUGAAAGCCCUACGGUCACACUAAAAACUCUUAUUUGGAGAACCCUUGACCGGAACAUACAUUUAUAAAUAUAUCUUAUAUGUAUAGCUACAGUGUCGACACAGCAGCGGGUUGUAGAAGAGAGCAGAAAUCGGUUACAAAUAAUCACUUGCUUCGCAUUGAUAAUGUUCACAACUGUUACUGCUUGUAAUUAAUUAUCACCGUCACUAGAGCCUCCUUCUCAGCAUUCUUUGAGAACCGAACAGAAGCAACCGUCCGACACAGCACCGAACUUGGAUAAAAUGCUAUCGAUUAGCCAAGCCAGCCAGCCAGCCAGCUACCAAGGGAACAAUGCUGAUUAAGCGGAGGAUGUAGAUGAAUAUUCUCAAAUUAUCGUUUUUGUUAUGCUCGUGGAAUUAGAGAAUAAUAUUAUAAAGCUAAAGGAUAAUGUUCGAUAGAGGGCCGCAGAAUGACGUAAUGUUUUAUUUACGAAAAAAUAAUUAGGACGGUACACUAUUUUUAAAUUACAAUUCCAAAUUGGAAAGUCAAAUGUACACCUGAUAACACUCAAAGGAUAACAAAAACGCCGACAAAUGCCAGUCAUUUACCAAUGAAUGAGUUAACCUGCUUGGCGGUACAUAGUAAGGCGGAUUAAGAAGCAUUUUAUCACUGCUUACGUGUUUCCGAUAGACGAGCAAGAAACUUCUCCAUUACGUGCAAACUUGAUGGCGCAACUGUAAUGUUACAAACAGCUAAGUAAACGUGCCAAUCCGAUUGACUGCUUACGACAUUUCAGUUUGAAAAGUGUUGUGGUUGAUUCGAAAAGAAGGAUGUGGAUUGUAAAUAGUGAAGCACCCCGUGCCUACCAGACAGCCGAUGAUAGACAGUCGGACCUGAUAGUUACGGUUAACUUACGAUAAGUUUUAAAUAAUCCAACUUUUGAAUGCGCGA